rnacentral:rRNA from 1 species
AAAGGUGAAAUUGGGAUGCUUUUAUUUAAGCUUUAACUUAAGCUGAAGCUAAGAAUUUUUAGAUCUAAACUAGGAUUAGAUACCCUAUUAUACUAAAAAAAUAGAUAACAGCCCAGAUUAUUAAUAGAUAUGUUCUUUAAAUUUAAAGAAUUUGGCGGUGAUUUAGUCUUGUCAGAGGAACCUGUUUUUGGAUCGAUAUACCACGCAGAAUCUUACUCAAGUCUAUAUACCGUCAUUAGCAGAUAAUUUUAAAAGAAGCAAUUAUUGGACUUUACAAGGUUAAGUAAAAUUAGAUCAAGGUGUAGCUUAUAAGUGAGUUAAAAUGGGUUACAAUAAAAUUUAUUUAUAACGGAGUAACUACUUUAAAGGAGGAUUUGAUUGUAUAUAAGUUUAAUAUGCUUAAGAGAUAUAAGCUCUAAAUCAUGUACAUAUCGCCCGUCGCUUUC